rnacentral:rRNA from 1 species
ACGAACGCUGGCGGCGUGCUUAACACAUGCAAGUCGAACGAAAAGAGGGAAAGAGCUUGCUCUUUCCGGAAUUGAGUGGCAAACGGGUGAGUAACACGUAAACAACCUGCCUUCAGGAUGGGGACAACAGACGGAAACGACUGCUAAUACCGAAUAAGUUCCAAGAGCCGCAUGGCCCAUGGAAGAAAAGGUGGCCUCUACCUGUAAGCUAUCGCCUGAAGAGGGGUUUGCGUCUGAUUAGCUGGUUGGAGGGGUAACGGCCCACCAAGGCGACGAUCAGUAGCCGGUCUGAGAGGAUGAACGGCCACACUGGAACUGAGACACGGUCCAGACUCCUACGGGAGGCAGCAGUGGGGAAUCUUCCGCAAUGGGCGAAAGCCUGACGGAGCAACGCCGCGGGAGUGAUGACGGCCUUCGGGUUGUAAAACUCUGUGAUCCGGGACGAAAAGGCAGAGUGCGAAGAACAAACUGCAUUGACGGUACCGGAAAAGCAAGCCACGGCUAACUACGUG